rnacentral:rRNA from 1 species
AAUCAACGCUGGCGGCGUGCCUAACACAUGCAAGUCGAACGAGAAAGUGGAGCAAUCCAUGAGUAAAGUGGCGACCGGGUGAGUAACACGUGACUAACCUACCUUCGAGUGGGGGAUAACCUCGGGAAACCGGGGCUAAUACCGCAUAAUGCCGAGAGGUUAAAGGAGCAAUUCGCUUGAAGAGGGGGUCGCGGCUGAUUAGUUAGUUGGCGGGGUAACGGCCCACCAAGACGAUGAUCGGUAGCCGGCCUGAGAGGGCGCACGGCCACA